rnacentral:rRNA from 1 species
AUUGAACGCUGGCGGAAUGCUUUACACAUGCAAGUCGAACGGCAGCACGGGGGCAACCCUGGUGGCGAGUGGCGAACGGGUGAGUAAUACAUCGGAACGUGCCCAGUCGUGGGGGAUAACGUAGCGAAAGUUACGCUAAUACCGCAUACGAUCUACGGAUGAAAGCGGGGGACCGUAAGGCCUCGCGCGAUUGGAGCGGCCGAUGUCAGAUUAGGUAGUGGGUGAGGUAAAGGCUCACCAAGCCGACGAUCUGUAGCUGGUCUGAGAGGACGACCAGCCACACUGGGACUGAGACACGGCCCAGACUCCUACGGGAGGCAGCAGUGGGGAAUUUUGGACAAUGGGCGCAAGCCAGAUCCAGCCAUUCCGCGUGCAGGACGAAGGCCUUCGGGUUGUAAACUGCUUUUGUACGGAACGAAAAGGCUCUGGUUAAUACCUGGGGCUCAUGACGGUACCGUAAGAAUAAGCACCGGCUAACUACGUGCCAGCAGCCGCCGUAA